UAGUUUUGGAAAGAUCUAUUGGUUAGGUGAGAACUUCUUCCAGUUGCUGGCUUGUCCUCCUCCUCCUCCUUACACAUCCCCUAGAACCUAUGAGGCAUCUGGAGGUGGUGCUCUAUGCUGUGUCUAUGCUCGCUGUUACAUUAAUUUAAAUAAAUUGUGCAAAUAAAAAAAAAAUAGAAAAAGAAAAAAAACAAACCCCUAAACCCUUCAUUCUGUGCAAAAAUAAAUCAAAAGAUUGGAGUUUCCAAUCCAGUUUUUUGUCCAAUGAGGUAAAAGCUGUUGUGUAAUGGCCUGUCCCUUUCUUCUCUCUGAAGGUCCCAACCCCAUGUGUCCCACUUGUCUGGAUUAAAAUUUGAAGUCUGGCAGUCUGGUUCUUUUCAUAGCUCCAGAGGAUUUUUGGGAGCAUGGGAUGCAUGGACCUGUUGACCCACAAAACUCUGGAGAAUGUUGGCUGUGGAUAAAAACAUCUGGAAGUUUCUACCAUCUUUUUACCCUGUUUUUCCUGGAUCAACCUGUGUCGUUUGUGGUCUUGCCCUGAGGAUUAUAGCAUACAGUCACUUACUGGAAUACCUUUCCAUGCAUCUUCUUGAAAUGGAGCCACUGCUUUACCCAGCUGGAAGAUAUUUUCUCUUCUCCCAGAGCUUUUCCAGUGCAGCAACACUCCUGUCCAUCAGGUCUCAGUUGACUGCAAAAAGGAGAAGAGUGUGUCAAAGGGAGGUCAGAUCCUGCCAGGGUUUCCUGGGAAAUGAGGAGAAAAAAACCAGGAUAAAGUAACCAAAGUCAGCACCUCACUUCAAGCUGCCAGUGGGACUCCUCCAGGGAGAGAGGGAUUGAGUUACCCUCUGCCUGCAAUUCAUCCCUCAUGCCUAUAAUCAAAUAAUCCAGUAAAACGGCGUCAAAAAGGAUGGGAAAGUUCGGAAAACUUUUUGCUGUAAGUUGAGCUGGGCAAAUGAUGCUCAGAGCUGUGUUUGUGUCUCGGGCACAGAUUUCUCCUCAGAAAGUGCUGGGGAGUAUUUUACCCAAGGUAUUGCAUUGAAGUCCUGAUGUCCAUAAAGUGUGGAGCAGAAUGGAUGUGUCUUCAAAUGCACCAUGCUUGCCCCCAUCUCGGUAGUAGGUCUUAAUUAUUGAGUGCUGUGAUUCUGAUUACAUUUUGCACUUAUGAUUGAUCAAUGUAUGUAGUGCCUUUAUUUGAAUUUAUUAGUUAUUGUUUAAUAUUAUAGUAGGCUUUAUUACAGAUUAGUACUACCUUGCAUUUAUUAGUUUUUCCAUUCUAGAGGAUCUGUUAAGUCUUCCCAGGGUUGAUUCCUAAUCUUAGGAUGCUCCUGCCCCCUUCAAUGCCCUUGGACACAUUAUCCAGUUGUGGUAAAAACCGUCCAGCCCAUUUUCAUUUAUUUUCCAUCUCCUUUUUCCUCCUUAACUUGAUUAUGAAGUUAUGAAGUCAUUGAGCUAACAACAGUAUUAUUUGGUUCCAAUUUACAUUAUUGACAGUUUAGCUUUCUCUGGGUUAAAUGGCAUCCUGAUAUUCCCUGCCAAUACUACUUUUUGUCUUGUUAAUGUUGGACUAACCUUCAAGGAAUAGAUUUUGAAAAAUUAUUUUUGAGGUUAUGCUAAUUUUUGCCAUGUAGGGGCUGUGUGACUUUCAGAAAGUUGCAUUUCAGCAGCAGGCUGGACUAGACAGAACACUGGUGCACUCUGUGACGCCAAGGAAAUAAUUUGCUGCAGCGCCCUACCACAUGCAAUCCUUGUUUUUCUUGGGAUAUCUCCCAUGGACUUU
rnacentral:lncRNA from 1 species